rnacentral:tRNA from 1 species
GCGGAAGUGGUGGAAUUGGCAGACGCGCUGGAUUCAGGGUCCAGUGGGAUUAGAUCCCGUGGGGGUUCAAGUCCCCCCUUCCGCA